rnacentral:lncRNA from 1 species
AUGAUAAUAACAUUGUUCAACAAAGGCUUAAAACAAAAGGAAAUCAGCUGUGUACUCAAUUCAUAUGGGCAUAAAAUAAGUGAGAGGCAUCUGAGACGAGUUUUAAAACUUCUAGGGUUGAAGCGAAGAUGCCCCCAACGACCUUUUACUGAAAUCCACAAAGCAGUGGAGAGUGAGAUGAAACAGUGUUCUCCUGAACAAGGAAUCAGGGCAAUGGUAAAGCGGGUAAGGGAUGUCAGAGGAGUGCGGCCUUGUUACAGAGACGAUGUUGCUAAUAUAAUGAGGGAUAUGGAUGCAAGUGGUCUUCAGAGGAGAUCUCCUGGAAAGAAGAAAAUUCCCCGUCGGAAUUACAUCAGCCGUGGUCCAAAUGACACCUGGCACAUUGAUGGUAUUUAUUUUAUCUUUUCAACGCCUAGACAGAAUACAAUGGAAAACCAGAAUACUCUUGGGGAAUGUAACUGGCUAAAGGUGGGCACAUCCAACCGCAAACAAAACUUUGUGGCCAGAUACUUCUUUGAGGCUGUUCAAGAACAGGGUGGUAUGCAAUAUACUUAA